rnacentral:lncRNA from 1 species
GCGUCGUCGUCGUCGUCUUGCGUCGUCUUGCGUCUUCGUCGUCCGAAUACUUUUAGUUUUCGCACUCAAACUUUAGUAAAAGUGAAUAGAAAUCUAUGAAAUUUUAACACAAGGUUUAUAACCACAAAAGGAAGGUUGGGAUUGAUUUUGGGAGUUUUGGUCCCAACAUUUUAGGAAUUAGGGGCCAAAAAGGGCCCAAAUAAGCAUUUUCUUGGUUUUCGCACUAUAACUUUAGUUUAAGUAAAUAGAAAUCUAUGAAAUUUUGACACAAGG